rnacentral:rRNA from 1 species
UACGUAGGGUGCGAGCGUUGUCCGGAAUUAUUGGGCGUAAAGAGCUCGUAGGCGGUGUGUCACGUCGGCCGUGAAAACCUGCAGCUUAACUGUGGGCGUGCGGUCGAUACGGGCAUCACUGGAGUUCGGCAGGGGAGACUGGAAUUCCUGGUGUAGCGGUGAAAUGCGCAGAUAUCAGGAGGAACACCGGUGGCGAAGGCGGGUCUCUGGGUCGGUACUGACGCUGAGACGCGAAAGCGUGGGGAGCGAACAGG